UUAAGAAGCGGAAUUGGGAGAUCUUGGUCUUGUUGCAAAAGCGAGUCGAUCAUCACAAUCCACGAUGCGCAAGCCUGAUCUAUUGACUGUUGCCAAGGUUUUUGAUACCUUCCGGCUCAUAGCUAAGAGUACCAUGGUCAUCUAUUUCUCUCCCUAUUACGCCCCAUCGCAGAAGUCCCACCCCCAGUUGGGCUG